rnacentral:rRNA from 1 species
CCUACGGGAGGCAGCAGUGGGGAAUAUUGGGCAAUGGGCGCAAGCCUGACCCAGCAACGCCGCGUGAAGGAAGAAGGCCUUCGGGUUGUAAACUUCUUUUGACAGGGAAGAGUAGAAGACGGUACCUGUCGAAUAAGCCACGGCUAACUACGUGCCAGCAGCCGCGGUAAUACGUAGGUGGCAAGCGUUGUCCGGAUUUACUGGGUGUAAAGGGCGUGUAGCCGGGUUGACAAGUCAGAUGUGAAAUCCUGAGGCUUAACCGCAGAACUGCAUUUGAAACUGGUGGUCUUGAGUACUGGAGAGGCAGACGGAAUUCCGAGUGUAGGGGGGAAAUGCGGAGAUAUUAGGAGGAACACCAGGGGCGAAGGCGGUCUGCUGGAC